GUGGGCAUGACCUGGCAGGCAGGGGAUUAACACUUGGGCUCGGACAUCAGGCCGUCUUAGCUCAGAUGCCAGCUGCCUGGGGGACGGCUGAGAGCUGCCAACAGCCCAAACCUGGAGCCAUGGAAGAUGGAGGGGCCGAUGGAACUGAACUGGGUGCAGCCUUUCCCCAGGUGGACCUGGGCCUCCGGCUCCAUGGCGUUUCCAGGCUAUUGGCAUGAGCCCUGUUCCAUUAUGACACAUACAAGUGUGAGGUAUCAUAGCCCACUUAAAACUAUGCCAUUCUGACCAGAUGGGAAGCAGUUUGAAGUUAGAGACCAUACGUGUUUCCUUCAUUGUUCCUGGCACUUGAAAUCUUGAGAGGUCAUCUAAUUCAACUUUUCACAGAUGAGAAACUGGAGGGAAGCAUUCUCAGUGGUGACAAGGAAUGCCCUAUUUAGGUUUUUUUCGUCUAACUGGAAGACUAAGAUAUAACAUGUUGGGCCAUUAUCUAAAGAAGGAAAGAGCAUGACGGCAUCUUCCAGCUGAGUUCCACAGCUUCAUUUUUGACAUUAGUUUCUAAUGGUGGCACAGAGCAUGUUUACAGACCAGAAGAGCCCCACCAAAUGGUCUAGGACUUGGAAGUGUAUUAAGCCUAAGGUAGAAUAAUUUGGUUUUCAGCUGAGUCACUACCGAAAGACGUAAGAAAAAGUGUUUUCCUUUCUUUUAUGUCCCAGAAAGAAGUUCAUGUUUACAAUAAAGGGAUUUUCAUUCCACAAAAGUUCA